AAAGCUAAGCUUGUUACGAAAAAUAUAAUGUAUAAUUGUUUCAAAUUUACGGUAUUAAAUUCAAGUCGUAUUAAUUAUCCGAAAGAUAUUGAAGAUAGGAUAUCAAAUGAUAUAAUAAUAUUAAAUAAUAAUAGUCUCGUGUAUGUCACCGUUGCCCACCGUAAUAAUCGAUCUGAUAAAUUACAGUAAUCGUUUCCAUCAUCGAAGACAGGGAACUUCACCAAGACGGCUGAUUGGUUCGGCGACGGUAUUAACUUGAACUUCUACAACUGAUUGCACGAUAGUACGAUAGAACCCAACGUAUAUUGGAACUGUGGGAGGAUUUGUGAAUUUUGGAUAGUAAUGAUCGCAUUUCCUGAAAUCGAUUAUUCCAGAAGAUAGUUGACAGGCAUCUGCUGCACAACUUUCAUGGAGUUUCAGCGUUGGCCAUUGCAGAAAAUCUAAUGUCCUUUGCUAUGCAAAACAUCUGUUUAACAGUCGCUAACUUUUCCUGUAAAUUACGAGCAAAGGGAGUCAAGUUUUAUAGACGUAGUAAUCAAAUCAGAACUUAAAAGCUGAUUAAUUCAACUCUAAAACUUUCUUUAUCCAAUUAUGACUAGUUUAAGCUAAGAAUGUUGGACUAAGUGCCACUAAUAUGUUAGUAUCAAACGAUCCAUACGGUGUCCGACAAAGAUGAUGUCUGCUAAGGAAAACUCAACUCCUUUUCAUUAUGGAGAGCGUAACGCAAACUUUUUUUCUCCGUUUACGGUCAUGUAACGAAAAAUGUUUUGAAAACAGUAAUGGAAAUAAUAAUAUUUCACUCUUUGAUACACAAAGAGAGAAAUACUACGGCAUGUAGAAUCAUAUAUUCGGGCACUCUAAUAAGUAAGGUAGAAUGUUGUAUUGCGAAAGGCGGUGUGCAAUUUGAACAAGUGUUAAAAUAAUGCACUUUUUGAAUUUGUCGUAAAAUCUCCCGCAAUUUUAUAUAAAAAAAAAAACAUAUGGACUAUUUAUGUUACUCAAGCAGUGCUUGGUUUCGCUAUGAAAAUAAAGCGUAUUCAGAAUCUUUUUAUCAUCGUUCGCAGUACACUCGACACACUUUUUUUAUUGCAUGGCCCCAAAUGGUAGAAAAAUUGUAAAUCGCGUUACGCGGAGCUGCCUGUAUUUCUUACAUAUAAUUAACUUAAAUGUAAAUUUACAGACUGUAUUUUGAUCAAAACAGAGUUUGAUUUAAUUUUUAGAAAGUUAUUCUGCUUUAAAGAGUGUUCGAAUAUAAAUGUGAUCGACCGUAUAUAAUCCGAUUAUUAAACCGAUAAAGAAUAUAUUGUAAGUUGGUAAACAAUUUAUGUCAAAUUUGCUUGCUUAAAUCAAAUUUGUUGAAUAUUUAUAACAUACUUAUAAACACGAAGUUUCUAAAAAUAUUCAUAACAUACUCGUAAACAGAAAACAAAAUUUAAACUGUCGUUAACAAUUUUUAUAUUCUAUUUAUUCUAAACAGAAACAGUCUAGUAAUCAGGUAGAAAUUGAUGUAACACGAUGUAUUUGUCUGUCAUUGGUGAGCAGAAAUACUAAUUUACAUAACCAACAGCAAGAACAACGUGUAUAUUAAAAUUAAUAUUGCGUUAAAGGUGAUGUUAAAUUUUGUAUGUAAGUGGAAUUUUGUAUACCAAAUGAAGAGAUAGAUGCGAGAUUCCUCGUGCAACGCGAUGUGAUUGGGGCUGCAGGUACAUGUUAUUGAGUAAUUAAAGCGUGUGUCACGAUAAUCUUACUAGCAAUGUUUCGAAUAUUCACGCACAGUAACAGUGACCAGAGGAAUAGGUGAGAAUGUGUUCUCGGAAAUCACUGAACUGCCUGACUAGGAGUCGGUGUUCGGGGUUAGUUGCCGGAGGUAGGUUCGCUGCUAGGAGUAGAUGGACCGGGGUAUGAGAGCGCGUGCCACUCUGAUUGUGGCGGCCAUACUGGGACACACGAGCCACAUACCGACGAUUCUUGGUUUCAUGCGGCGUGCCUAGACACCCUGAGAAUACUUAUGACUUGCUGAAGCGGUGCGGCUUGGCUUCCCGUCUAACUAAGGACGUCGUUUAAAAAACUGCUUACUUUUAUGUAAAAAGAUUACGUAUACGUAGCAAAGAAAAUGCAAGACAGGCAAUUUCCCAAACGAUGGAUUGAUCGCGGUGGAGAAUUUCUAUGGCCAUCACGCUCAUCGGAUCUAAAGCUGCUAGGCUUCUUUCCGUGGUAGACGUUAAAGAACAUAGUGUACCGAGGACAACACCGGAGAAUACGGAACAACGAAUUCAUGAAGUAUUACCGGUUCGUUAAUAAAUUGCAUCAUCUUUGUAGCAAUGUCAAUGGAUAAUGACAGCAAUGUGAAUGAAGACAACAGAGUGCGAUAAGAUGAAAAAUAUCGAGUAUAGUAGUAGGAAUAUUUGUCAUUUCUUCUGUGGAGUAAUUUCGACGAACGCCACGAGUAAAAGGCUCAGAUCGAAUAAUAUUAAUCAUCAACUUUUCGUGUGCCGAGAUGCGAGCACAAAGAAAUAUUUUCUAUGCGUGCAUUACAGCGGAAAAAUUCAAUUUCACUUUUAAAAAUUCAUCUCGAGACUUCUGUUCGAUGCCAGGUUUUUAAAAUCUGGUGCUGGUGCGCGGUUCGUGUGCAUUAAUUUGCGCAACAAAGAGCUUUUAUAACAUGUUGGGGUGAGUUUAAAGGUUGGAAGAGAUCGCAUGCAAAAAGCUUCCGUUCUUGUUACAUAAGCCGGUUUUAACUAACUUCUCGGUACACUAACUAUGCCCUAUGUAUAAAUUUCUGUUCAAUCAGAGAGGCGCACACUUCUUCACGUAGCAAACUUUCAUUUCAGAAAAUGUUUACAGGCGGUUAAAUAUAAAUUUAAAUACAAGAAAAUCUCGCAGAGCUUCAGCCUGAAUGAAAUUUGCACAGACAGAAAGCAGGACUCGCAGUUCCGUUUGCUCGAAAUUUUUAAUUUUCUUUGCGCUAACGAUUGCAGUGAAUUGCGUGAAAUUUACUAAAUAUAACUUGCCUACUUGGACACAUUUUAUCUUCUUUCGCGUAGAAAAGUCCUGAGUAUAUUUCUAUGUAGAAUUCUACAUAAAAUCAAAAUUCUUGCUCGUGUGAUAAGAAAUGCUGAAUAAAUAUUGAUCAAAGAAUCAUUUGUUCCAAGGUUACAGGCGAACGAGCAUUAUUCGCUUCUACCACAAAUGUUUCAAAUUGCUAUCGUAUAUUUCAAUACGAUACAACGUAUUCGAAUACUAUAAUAUGGGUUCCUUGGAGACCGCCGUAUACGUACAUUCGUAAAAUUCACCAUUGCAUUCUACUUCUCAACGGAGAAAGUUUUCCAUUUAUUACUUCAAUCUGUGUAUCGUGUACCGGUAAAUUGUAAAUCCGUAAAUGUACAGAUAAAUAAGUAGUCAUGUAAAUAUAAGCAAAAGUUUAUAAAUAAGUUUGAAAACUUACAAUGGAAACAAGGGAUUUCUUGGUUUAUGUCCGUAAAACAUAAACUUUACGUUUAGUCGAGUAAUUACGAUACUUGUGUUUAGAACGUUAUACAAUCUUUUCUGAGCAGUAUAUUUUCAACAAUGUAAUUUCUUCUGCUUGUAAUAAAUUAUAUACGGCUAUAUUGUUUUCCACUCCAAUACCCUGUUAACGUUGAAAUCGCCACGUUCCCGGAAUCGACAUUAUCGAAUUAACGGGAAGAUAAUUUAUAAAGAUUUAUAAGUUAUAAAUCGUUACAUGAAUUUACAAGAAGAGAAAUUGUUGCAAUCAUCGUCUUUUCUUAGUAAAG